AAGAAGCGGAAUGUUUACCUCCACUUUUCUAAACAUAUCUAAAAUCUCUCUCUCUUUGUCUCCAUCAUCAUUCCUUUUAUUUUUCAGUAUUCUAUAUGGGAAAGGAACUGGUGGCACAUACUCCUUCUCUUUUUCUUUUUCAGUUUCUACCACAACAGAGGAUUCAGUUUCUAUCACAACGGAAGAAGGUUCAGGUGUUACCUCAAGAAUUUUUUUAUUUUUUU
rnacentral:lncRNA from 1 species